rfam:Osedax symbiont Rs1 5221_183, whole genome shotgun sequence.
GGGCCGUUAGCUCAGUUGGUAGAGCAGUUGGCUUUUAACCAAUUGGUCGUAGGUUCGAAUCCUACACGGCCCA